rnacentral:lncRNA from 1 species
CAAAGCAGACGUAAAUUUUAUCCUGAAAAAUAAGCUUUUAUUACAAAGAAUCUUCGAUGAAUCUUUGGAGGAUGGGAAUAAAAAAUUGGUACUUGAA